UACGUAGGGGGCAAGCGUUAUCCGGAAUCACUGGGCGUAAAGCGUGCGUAGGUGGCGUGUUAAGUGAGAUGUGAAACCGUGUGGCUCAACCACACGUUGUGUCUCAUACUGGCAUGCUAGAGGACGGCAGAGGCAAGUGGAAUUACGAGUGUAGCGGUAAUAUGCGUAGAUAUUCGUAGGAACACCAAUGGCGAAGGCAGCUUGCUGGGCCAAUCCUGACACUGAGGUACGAAAGCGUGGGGAGCGAACAGG
rnacentral:rRNA from 1 species